GUAAGUAUAGUUUUAAUCAAAACUUUAGAUUGUGAUUCUAAGAAUAGGGGUUAAAGCCCCCUUACUCACC
rnacentral:tRNA from 1 species